rnacentral:rRNA from 1 species
UACGUAGGGUGCAAGCGUUAAUCGGAAUUACUGGGCGUAAAGCGUGCGCAGGCGGCUAUGCAAGACAGAUGUGAAAUCCCCGGGCUCAACCUGGGAACUGCAUUUGUGACUGCAUGGCUAGAGUACGGUAGAGGGGGAUGGAAUUCCGCGUGUAGCAGUGAAAUGCGUAGAUAUGCGGAGGAACACCGAUGGCGAAGGCAAUCCCCUGGACCUGUACUGACGCUCAUGCACGAAAGCGCGGGGAGCAAACAGG